GGGCUUGACAUCCCACGAACCUGCAGAGAUGCAGUGUGCCUUCGGGCGUACUGAGACAGGUGGUGCAUGGUUGUCGUCAGCUCGUGUCGUGAGAUGUUGGGUUAAGUCCCGCAACGAGCGCAACCCUUGCCGAUAAUUACUAACAGGUAAUGCUGAGGACUUUAUUGGGACCGCCGGGGACAACUCGGAGGAAGGUGGGGACGACGUCAAGUCCUCAUGGCCUUUAUGCCCCGGGCUACACACGUACUACAAUGGCCGGUACAAAGGGCAGCCAACCCGCGAGGGUGAGCGAAUCCCAAAAAAGCGGCCUCAGUUCGGAUUGCAGUCUGCAACUCGACUGCAUGAAGGUGGAAUCGCUAGUAAUCGCAGAUCAGCAAGCUGCGGUGAAUACGUUCCCGGGCCUUGUACACACCGCCCGUCACACCACGAAAGUCAGCUGUACUCGAAGUCGCUGAG
rnacentral:rRNA from 1 species